AUGAAGUUGGAAUCGCUAGUAAUCGCGGAUCAGCAUGCCGCGGUGAAUACGUUCCCGGGCCUUGUACACACCGCCCGUCACACCAUGAGAGUCGGGAACACCCGAAGUCCGUAGCCUAACCGCGAAGGGGGGCGCGGCCGAAGGUGGGUUCGAUAAUUGGGGUGAAGUCGUAACAAGGUAAC
rnacentral:rRNA from 1 species